AAAAGCUGUGGCUUAGAUAAGGGUGUAAUUGCACACAUAGAAGUGAGAGAACUGAGCAAUUGAUUGGAUGUUAGAAGUUCAAAAGAAGGAAAAGCCAAUGACAACUCUUGUAUUUUAAUCCUGAUUUUGGGGGGAAGAUAACUAAGAGAAGGAACAGGUUUGGACAAAGGGGAGUUUUUUGAAGUGCCAUCAUACAUCUAUAUGGUGAUUUAACUUAGGUCUGCUUUUUAAAUAAGUAAAAUCUAACAGAUGGAUGUAAAAGUGGUCUGUAUUUGCAGCCAUGGGAGUAGAUGAGACACUCUGAGAGAGAAAAAGGCUGAAGUCCUAGGAACCUUCUGGAGAUGCUUCCAUUUACAAGAAACCGACGAGAUGAUCAAGUUUAAUAGGAUUUCAGCCCCAGUCCAAAGUGGUAUAUCCUAGUUUUACGUCUUUCUAGUUCUUCUGCGUGAGCUGCCACCACAGCAAGGCAACUGACAGACAAGUGGUGUGGUUCUGCAACCAGGAAAUGAACUUGGGCCACUGAAGUGGGAGUGCUGAAUUUUAACCACUAGACCAUCAGGGCUGGCUCUCUUCUUCCUAUCCUGAAUGCCUGGUUGUGCAACAGCCAUUUUAUGACCAUGAGGCAACAGUCACACUAGAAAAUCCAAAAGAAUCAUAGAGCCUCACAGAGAUGCAGAUCCUGACCUGAGUGAGCCCCUCAACAGGAACUGGCAGCUGCCUACCUCAGUCUUCCAGUUCUCACAGCAGUCCUUUGAGGCAGCUGCUCCUCUUAUCUCCAUGUCCCAGCAAGGAGAGCCGCUCUAAAGAAGGUUGUAACCUGCCCAGAGUCACACAGCGAGUGAGCACUGGAGACGGAGUCUGAACUCGAGCCCCCUGAUUCCGUAACCAUUCCAACCCUGCUGCUGAAGAAAUGUUGGCACGUGCUCCUAGUUCCUUCUCUAAGAUAAGUUAUUAAGUAAAACAAUUGUAUAGUAUUGACAUCUGUAAUCGGAGAAACCCAGGUCCUUCAACCUCCUCAAGAACACUCCCUUCACAGAUCAAAAGAUGAUUGGCUCCUAAGUGUCAGAUGCUGAGCUGAGCACCAAGGCCGCAAAGAACAAGUGGUUGCAAGUCUGGCCAUUAUUUGAUAUCCAGAAAUAAGGCUGAAAGGAAGUCAUCUCUAUUUUUGCUGCUAGGGUGAGAGAUGUGGCUGCUCAGGAGAAUUGAAUGAGAGAGAGAACACUGAAGGAAUGUUUGGAGAGAAUGCUGAUGCCUCUGGACUGCGCCCAGUUCUAAACAAGGAUUAACACCAACCAUGCAUGCAUCUGCUAUGAACCCAAACGAUCUCUUAAAGCUGUUGCAUCUUUCCUCCCAUUCUUUGAGGACCAAAAAACGAAUAAAAAAUGUGUACUUUACAACCAAGAGAUUGUGUAAAACUCAUGCAAUUGGCAUAUCCUCUGUAAAAUUUAAGCUACUGAUCUACCAUUAGUGGAACAUAUGUUUUGAGUUAUUUUCUGAGUUAGGGAAUGAAUUUAGGUCACACCUCUACUGGGUUCUUUUUUGUUCAUUGAAUAAUAUAUACAUGUUUAUAAAUGUGCUUUUUAUGUAUAUGUUAUGAGUAUGUUUUCUAGAUAUGUGUUAAAAUUUAUUUAUUACAUAAGCCAGCCAUGGUGAUCUAGUGGUUAAUAUUCAGCAUUCUCACCACCAGGGCCUGGGUUCUUUUCCCAGUCAGGGAACCUUACCACCCUUCUGUCGGUUGUCAUACUGUACUGACUGUGUGCUGCUGUGAUGCUGAAAGCUAUGUCACUGGUAUGUCAAAUACCAGCAACGUCACCCAUAUUGGACAGGUUUCAAUGGAGCUUCCAGACUGAGACAAACUAGGAAGAAUGACCUGGCCACCCACUUCUGAAAAAAUUGGGCAUGAAAACCCUAUGAAUAGUCACAGAGUAUUGUCUGCUACAACAUCGGAAGGUGAGAGGAUGGUGCAAAAAGACUGGGCAGGGUUCUGCCCUGAUGUAUGUAGGUCAUGAGGAGUCAGAAUCGACUCCAUAGCACUAAUAACAUGUUACAUAUAUAUAUGCGGUAUAUACAUGCAAAUAUAUGUGUGAUUUAUAUAUAUAGAUCUUCAAUGAACAAAAAAAAAUGCAGCAGAGGUGUGACAUAAUUCAUUUGCAAACUGGG
rnacentral:lncRNA from 1 species